GACGAACGCUGGCGGCGUGCUUAACACAUGCAAGUCGAACGAAGUGGCGAACGGGUGAGUAAUGCGUAAUCAACCUGCCCUUCAGAGGGGGACAACAGUUGGAAACGACUGCUAAUACCGCAUACUGAUGGAGGGGUUUGCGUCUGAUUAGCUAGUUGGGGGGGUAACGGCCCACCAAGGCGAUGAGCAGUAGGCGGGCUGAGAGGAUGGACGGCCACAAUGGGACUGGGACACGGCCCAGACCCCUACGGGAGGGAGCAGGGGGGGAACUUCCGCAAAGGAGGGAAGUCUUGCGAAGCAACGCCGCGGGGGUGAUAGCGGCCUUCGGGUUGUAAAACGCUGUUAAUCGGGAAGCGGUACCGGAAUAGAAAGCCACGGCUAACUACGUGCCAGCAGCCGCGGUAAUAC
rnacentral:rRNA from 1 species